rnacentral:rRNA from 1 species
AUUGAACGCUGGCGGCAGGCCUAACACAUGCAAGUCGAACGGGAACAGGAAACAGCUUGCUGUUUCGCUGACGAGUGGCGGACGGGUGAGUAAUGUCUGGGUAAACUGCCUGAUGGAGGGGGAUAACUACUGGAAACGGUAAGCUAAUACCGCAUAACGUCGCAAGACCAAAGAGGGGGACCUUCGGGCCUCUUGCCAUCGGAUGUGCCCAGAUGGGAUUAGCUUGUUGGUGGGGUAACGGCUCACCAAGGCGACGAUCCCUAGCUGGUCUGAGAGGAUGACCAGCCACACUGGAACUGAGACACGGUCCAGACUCCUACGGGAGGCAGCAGUGGGGAAUAUUGGACAAUGGGCGCAAGCCUGAUGCAGCCAUGCCGCGUGUAUGAAGAAGGCCUUCGGGUUGUACAGUACUUUCAGCGGGGAGGAAGGGAGUAAAGUUAAUACCUUUACUCAUUGACGUUAUCCGGAGAAGAAGCACCGGCUAACUCCGUGCCAGCAUGCCGCGGUAAUACGGAGGGUGCAAGCGUUAAUCGGAAUUACUGGGCG